UGCCCUGGGUCAAGAGGGUGGCUGAUGGAACACCUUAUGUCUGGCAACAGGACUCUGCAUCAACCACACAAGUAGAAGAACCCAAUUCAUGAGCUGGCGGA